UACGUAGGGGGCGAGCGUUGUCCGGAGUUACUGGGCGUAAAGGGCAUGCAGGCGGUCGGACGCGUUUCGGGUGACAGCGGGUGGCUUAACUACCCGAGUGGUCGAAAGACGGUUUGACUUGAGGACGCGAGAGGGACGCGGAAUUCCGGGUGGAGUGGUGAAAUGCGUAGAGAUCCGGAGGAACACCGAAGGCGAAGGCAGUGUCCUGGCGCGUAACUGACGCUGAGGCGCGAAAGCCAGGGGAGCGAACGGG
rnacentral:rRNA from 1 species